CUCCAGACGGGGUUCCGGUGUAGAAGGAUGAUUCCAGACACCGUCUCUCCACCGAGCAGCGAGAUCGGCCCGUCCAGCAUGAACAGAGUCUGCUUCCAGCUCUGGAACUGAACUUUGAACCAGGAAGUGAACCCGUGGAACGUCCCAGCCUUUUCCACGAUGAAGGUAAACUGGCCCCUCAGCUUCUAGACAGGGAACUCGUUGACUUACAUGUAUGUGUGUGUGAAUUACAUGUUAUUAUAUUGUUUUACACCAUG